rnacentral:rRNA from 1 species
AGUGAACGCUGGCGGUAGGCCUAACACAUGCAAGUCGAACGGCAGCACAGGAGAGCUCGCUCCCUGGGGGGCGAGUGGCGGACGGGUGAGGAAUACACCGGAAUCCACUGUUUCGUGUGGGUUAACGUAGGGAAACUUACGCUAAUACCGCAUACGACCUACGGGUGAAGGCAGGGGACCUUCGGGCCUUGCGCGAUUGAAUGAGCCGAUGUCGGGUUAGCCAGUUGGCGGGGUAAAGGGCCAACAAGGCGACGAUCCGUAGCUGGUCUGAGACGAUGAACAGCCACACUGGAACAGAGACACGGUCCAGACUCCUACGGGAGGCAGCAGUGGGGAAUAUUGGGCAAUGGGCGCAAGCCUGAUCCAGCCAUACCGCGUGGGUGAAGAAGGCGUUCGGGUUGUAAGGCCCUUUUGUAGGGAAAGAAAUCCAGCUGGCUAAUCGCCGGUUGGGAUGACGGUACCCACAGAAUAAGCACCGGCUAACUUCGUGCCAGCCGCCGCGGUAA